UACGGGGGGGGCAAGCGUUGUUCGGAAUUACUGGGCGUAAAGGGCUGGUAGGCGGCCAACUAAGUCGGAUGUGAAAUCCCCAGGCUUAACCUGGGAACUGCAUCCGAUACUGGUCGGCUUGAAUCCGGGAGAGGGAUGCAGAAUUCCCGGUGUAGUGGUGAUAUGCGUAGAUAUCGGGAGGAACACCAGUGGCGAAGGCGGUUCUCUGGGCCUUACCUGACGCUGAGACGCGAAAGCGUGGGGAGCGAACCGG
rnacentral:rRNA from 1 species